rnacentral:rRNA from 1 species
AGCUCCAAUAGCGUAUAUUAAAAUUGCUGCAGUUAAAGCGUCCGUAGUUGGAUUUCGUUCACACGGGAAGGACGCCGAUGUGUCUUCGGACUAAUCGUGCGCUUUCCCUAGUGAACUUGAACGAAGCCUCUGGCGCAAGCCGGAAGUUUUGUUCCGUUACUUUGAGCAAAUUGGAGUGCUCCAACCAGGCUUACGCUUGAACAGCUCAGCAUGGAAUAACAAGAUAGGACUUUGGUUCUUCUUGUUGGUGUCAUGAACCAAAAGUAAUGGUUGAUAAGGACAUACGGGGGCAUUUGUACUUGCUGGAGAGAGGUGAAAUUCUAAGACCCAGCAAAGACAAACAACUGCGAAAGCAUUUGCCCAGUGUGUACCUG